CUCUUCAUCAGUUAAUAAAAUAAUAUGAGAAUCAAAUGAACAACGUUUAUGUUGAUUGAAUUACCUUGUGAAUGUUUUCAUCUUCGUGCGAUCUCCAUUGCUCCAUGGUAAAGGGUUGUAAUGAGACAUUGUCAAUCCAUAUUUCCACAGUUGUGUUCUUGCUCUAAAACAACGAGGAAAACCAAGAAUUAAUUAUCCAUAUAUAAAGAAAACUUGUCUAUUAGAUUUUACCUUCCGGACUUCACCUACUCUUAGCCAACAGAAAAAAAAAAUGGAAUGCCUAUAUAUACCCUAUAUUAAUGCCCCUUAGUACCUCAAACAGAAUCUCAGCAGGGCCUGAAAAGUUUGCAAAGAUGCCACCUUUAAGAAAAGACCAGCAUCCAUCGCUGGCUAUAACAUUACCAGCACGAAUCAGCUCACCAGCAGCAGUUCUCAAAACAACUGCUACACUCUCACGUCCUCUGUUGACUUGAACCCAUGCGGAGAAAAUAUAAAGAUUUCCUUCCUCAAAUUGAACCGUCUGUGAGGCACUGUCAAGUGAUUGUGUUCUGCUAUGUGCAAUAAUGUAUUUGUUCCCAUCCUUUGAUAUUCCUUCUCUGAUUGCUCCUUCACCAUACACAGUCCAACCUUCCAAGCUAUAAGUAAACUCUGGAUUGGCUACUAUCCCUCCUCCAUAUUGAGCUCUCUGAGGCUCUAUCAAGCACUCAGUUGUUGCAGAAUAGUCAUAGGAGAAAGCAUGAAUACUAUGCCCUGAAGACAGAAAAAUGCACAAGAAAACCAAUACCCAAUAAGCUCCUAUUGAUAUCCUCAUCUUUGCACAACACAAGCAUGCGGGCGCAUAUAUUUCCUGAAACACUAGAGAAAUGUUACUGUUAAAACUUGUCACAUUGAACUUCGCAACACAAAAUUGACGUUUUUGGAUCGAUUGAGUCAUGUCACUACAAGAUCAUUUAUUAUUUUUGAUUUCCCUCUUAACUUUAAUACAUGAGGCUAAUGAUCAAAACCCAAAAGAAACAAUGCAAUGAAUGAACAUUAAAAGCACAAUGUAUGGACUAAUUUCAGAGACGUAAUGCCAAACUUGGACACUGUUUUAAUCUCUG
rnacentral:misc_RNA from 1 species